rnacentral:rRNA from 1 species
CCUACGGGAGGCAGCAGUGGGGAAUAUUGCACAAUGGGGGAAACCCUGAUGCAGCAACGCCGCGUGAAGGAAGAAGGGCUUCGGCUCGUAAACUUCUAUCGAUAGGGACGAAAGAGAUGACGGUACCUAAAUAAGACGCCCCGGCUAACUACGUGCCAGCAGCCGCGGUAAUACGUAGGGGGCAAUCGUUCUCCGGAUUUACUGGGUGGAAAGGGAGCGUAGACGGUGCAGCAAGUCUGAAGUGAAAGGUCGGGGCCCAACCCCGGGACUGCAUUGGAAACUGUUUAACUGGAGUACAGGGGAGGGAAGCGGAAUUCCUAGUGUAGCGGUGAAAUGCGUAGAUAUUAGGAGGAACACCAGUGGCGAAGGCGGCUUACUGGACUGUAACUGACGUUGAGGCUCGAAAGCGUGGGGAGCAAACAGGAUUAGAUACCCGAGUAGUC